rnacentral:rRNA from 1 species
UACGUAGGGGGCUAGCGUUGUCCGGAAUCAUUGGGCGUAAAGAGCGUGUAGGCGGUCCGGUAAGUCCGCUGUGAAAGUCCGGGGGCUCAACCCUCGAAUGCCGGUGGAUACUGUCGGGCUAGAGUGCGGAAGGAGGCGAGUGGAAUUCCGUGGUGUAGCGGUGAAAUGCGCAGAUAUCAGGAGGAACACCUAUUGCGAAGGCAGCUCGCUGGGACGUAACUGACGCUGGAGACGCGAAAGCGUGGGAGGCAAACAGG